CGACAAACCGUCAGUUCCUCCCUUGUCCUACUACAGCACACACUACAAAAAAAGCGAAAGAAGGCUUAGACCAACUCUCUGUAGCUAGCUACCAGAAACCCUAAGCUAACAUUAGCAAGGCUAAGAAGAACGUCGUCGAACUCUUGAGUUAGUGCUUUUUUGGAACAGGGCCCCUGUCAGUCACAGGCUGUUGGAAUCGUCCUAACCUUUCCAGCCCAUACGGCGCCCCUGGACACAGGAAAACACAACCUGAGCCACCGGGAUGCAGCCCCAGAAUGCGUUGUUGACCUGGGGGAUGCUGUUGCCUGGGUAAAUGCCAACACGGGCCUCUUCUGAGACAAGUCCUCACCCCUGAGUGAUGAGGAAAUACAGGGUGCUGUGCAGAUGCUCAGAGAGGCCUCAACUCUAGAGGAAGAACAAGAAG
ensembl:lncRNA